AAGACUAUACUUUCAGGGUUCAUUUCUAUAGUAUGUGACUAGAGAAGUUUCUCUGAUCGUGUAGAGCAUCCACAAGAAAAGCCACAAGAAAGAGAGCAUUCUCUCCUGAGCAUGAAGCCGGCUCUAGGUGUCACUUCUGUGGCUACCUCUUGCCAUUGAUGAUCAUUCUCCCUUUCCUCUAGGAGAGGGUAGAGGGAGAGGAUGCAGUCUGAGUGGU